rnacentral:rRNA from 1 species
GAUGAACGCUAGCGGCAGGCCUAAUACAUGCAAGUCGAACGAUAGAAGAGGGCUUGCUCUCUUCGAAAGUGGCGCACGGGUGCGUAACGCGUAUGCAACCUACCUUAAUCAGGGGGAUAGCCCGAAGAAAUUCGGAUUAACACCGCAUAAAAUCACAGUAAAGCAUUGUACAAUGAUCAAAUAUUUAUAGGAUUAAGAUGGGCAUGCGUGACAUUAGCUAGUUGGCGGGGUAACGGCCCACCAAGGCGACGAUGUCUAGGGGAUCUGAGAGGAUGACCCCCCACACUGGUACCGAGACACGGACCAGGCUCCUACGGGAGGCAGCAGUAAGGAAUAUUGGUCAAUGGAGGCAACUCUGAACCAGCCAUGCCGCGUGCAGGAAGACGGCCCUCUGGGUUGUAAACUGCUUUUAUUCGGGAAUAAACCUCAUUAUGUAUAGUGAGCUGAAUGUACCGAAGGAAUAAGGAUCGGCUAACUUCGUGCCAGCAGCCGCAGUAA